AUGUUCAACAGUGUCAAAGGCUUUAGCAAAAUCAAGCUUGAGGAUGAGAAUUGGUCUCUUAGAUUGAUGACACUAAUGAAUAUAUUCCAAAAUCCAUGCAAUGCAGUCUUGAAUGGACCCGGAAUUAAGAAAACCAUAUUGAUUCUUAUGGAUGCAUUUAAGAAUAAAUUUUUGCAACCUAUUUGCCUGGAGUUUAGUGAGGAACUUGAGGCAAGUGUUUGUGAGAGAGAUUGGCCUAUAAUCAUUUGGCCCCUUAGGAGAUAUAAUUUUUGGGAUGAGUGUGACCAAGGACCCAUUUAUACUCUGGAGGGUAAUUCUUCCUUCAUAGAAGUCAGUAAUUAA
rnacentral:rRNA from 1 species